rnacentral:rRNA from 1 species
UACGUAGGGUGCGAGCGUUAAUCGGAAUUACUGGGCGUAAAGCGUGCGUAGGCGGUUGGCAAAGUCAGCUGUGAAAGCCCCGGGCUUAACCUGGGAAUGGCGGUUGAAACUAGUCGACUCGAAUCUGGCAGAGGGGGUGGAAUUCCGACGUGUAGCAGGUGAAAUGCGUAGAGAUGAUGGAGGAACACCGAUGGCGAAGGCAGCCCCCUGGGCUGAG